UACAUGCAGUCGAGCGCUAGGGGUGCUCCCUUAGGGGAGACCUCCUGGGGCGGCGGAGGGUGAGUAACACGUAGGCAACCUGCCUGUAAGACCGGGUUAACUACCGGAAACGGUAGCUAAGACCGGAUAGGUGGUUUCUCCGCAUGGGGGGCUCAAGAAACACGGUGCAGGCUGUGGCUUACAGAUGGGCCUGCGGCGAAUUAGCUAGUUGGUGGGGUAACGGCUCACCAAGGCGACGAUGCGUAGCCGACCUGAGAGGGUGAUCGGCCACACUGGGACUGAAACACGGCCCAGACUCCUACGGGGGGCAGCAGUGGGGAAUCUUCC
rnacentral:rRNA from 1 species